GAUGAAGAACGCAGUGAAAUGCGAUAAGUAAUGUGAAUUGCAGAAUUCAGUGAAUCAUCGAAUCUUUGAACGCAUCUUGCGCUCCUUGGUAUUCUGAGGAGCAUGCCUGUUUGAGUGUCAUUAAAUUCUCAACUACACUGACUUUGAAUUGGUGUGGCUUGGAUUUGGGGGGAAAAUUGUUGUGGGCUUUUUGUAUAGUCUGCUCCCCUGAAAUUGAUUAGCGGUACCUUUGUGGAACUGUCUACAGGUGUGAUAAUUAUCUACAUCUUAGACAUCUGCUGGAAUGCUGCUUUCUAAACCUUACUUGUAUUGACAAUCUUGACCUCAAAUCAGGUAGGACUACCCGCUGAACUUAAGCAUAUCAAAAGCGGAGGA
rnacentral:misc_RNA from 1 species